AGGUAGCUCAGUUGGUAGAGCAACGGACUGAAAAUCCGUGUGUCGCCGGUUCGAUCCCGGCCUUGGCC
rnacentral:tRNA from 1 species